UACGUAGGGUGCGAGCGUUAAUCGGAAUCACUGGGCGUAAAGCGCACGUAGGCGGCUUACUAAGUCAGGGGUGAAAUCCUGGAGCUCAACUCCAGAACUGCCUUUGAUACUGGUGAGCUUGAGUCCGGAAGAGGUGAGUGGAACUGCGAGUGUAGAGGUGAAAUUCGUAGAUAUUCGCAAGAACACCAGUGGCGAAGGCGGCUCACUGGUCCGGUACUGACGCUGAGGUGCGAAAGCGUGGGGAGCGAACAGG
rnacentral:rRNA from 1 species